CCUACGGGUGGCAGCAGUGAGGAAUAUUGGUCAAUGGACGGAAGUCUGAACCAGCCAUGCCGCGUGCAGGAAGACGGCUCUAUGAGUUGUAAACUGCUUUUGUACAAGGAUAAACUUGAAUACGUGUAUUCAGCUGUAAGUACUGUACGAAUAAGGAUCGGCUAACUCCGUGCCAGCAGCCGCGGUAAUACGGAGGAUGCGAGCGUUAUCCGGAUUCAUUGGGUUUAAAGGGUGCGCAGGGGGGCGUUUAAGCCGGCGGGAAAAUGUCGGGGCUCAACCCAGACGAGACGUUGGAACUGGGGGCCUUGAGUGCGGCGGAGGCAGGCGGAAUGCGCGGUGUAGCGGUGAAAUGCAUAGAUAUCGCGCAGAACCCCGAUUGCGAAGGCAGCGUGCCGUGCCGCCACUGACGCUGAGGCACGAAAGCGCGGGGAUCGAACAGGAUUAGAUACCCCAGUAGUC
rnacentral:rRNA from 1 species